rnacentral:lncRNA from 1 species
UUAGGGUCCCGUGGGGAGUCCCGUGUGGGCCCUUGCGGGUGUUGGGCAAGACUCUGCUCUGUUUGUUUGUUUUUAAAUCAGUUCUCACUUCUGGGUCUUAAUCUUUCCAGCCCUUUUCUGCAUAGACUGCAAGCCUUAGGGAGAGUUAUGUGACACAGAUGUUCCAUUUAGGGCUAAACAUUACCUGGUCCACUUGGCACACUUAACAGUUCUAGGUCUCCUGGCUAAUUGCCAUCUGUUGCAAGAAGCAGCUUCUUUGAUGAGGACUGAGGGAUGUACUAAUUUAUGAAUGUAACAAUAAGUCAUAGAGAAUCAUUUCAAUAUUGUCGACAUUUAGGAGAAUAAUCGUUGCAAGUUUUCCCCUAGAGCCUAUGACAAUUCUAACCACAGGUUCUUAGCCAUGUUAAUACUGCCAGGUAUGGAUCCUGUCGCAUGGAGUGGACCAGACACCCAUUUAGAAAAUGGUUAGUUACUCUUAUAUCAUUCAGGGAAUAAAUGUGUUUGAAUUUAUUUAAACAUUUCACAAUCACAACAACUUAUAGGUUGAUAAUUUUUUAAGAACUUUUUAUUGCUUCUUUGUGAGUUUUACAUUGUGCACUCUAAUCCCACUUGCCUCCGUAUCCCCUCAUGUCCACCCUUUGUCCUUGCAACCUCCCUCCCCCAAACACACACAUACACACACACACACACACACACACACACACACACACACACACACUUAAAUCAUAGAAGACAUCUCAUCGUGGAAGCUACAGUAUGUCAAUGUGUGUCCCAUCGUAUAUCUACACAGUAUCCCCUGCUGUUCACAUCUUUACUUGCAAAUGUACGUUGCAAUGAGUCAUUGUUUCCAGAUCUCUGACUCUUGUGACACUAUCAAUAUUGGGUUUUCACUGGCCUUCCUCCUGGUUAUCCUGUUAUUGCCCUCUGUCAUCGAGAUCCUAGAGCUUUGGAUCAGCCAGACUGGCCCUUUCACAUGUCUCAACAAUUUGCAGAUGAUACAGAUUUGGGGUUGGACCAACUCAGAGCCAGGAAGCUGAGCCUGAGUGGUAGCUGAGCUGGUCAGAGCUCUGGCUUUUCUUUAUCUGCACCACUAGAACCAGCUCCACUGUGCUGCCCAAUCAAGGUGUACGUCUCACUCUCCCAAGUGUUGCAGCCUCCAAGAGGUAGGACCAACUCCCCAUCUCUCAUAUUCUCAGGACUGACUCACGUGUGCCUUUACUAUCAGGGCCAGCUCCACUGUUGCCCAGGCAAGGUGCAAGCCUGCUUUCCUGAGUGCUACAGUCAGUGAGGGGGCAGGACUAGCUCUCCUGCUCUCAUGCCCUCAGGGCCAGCUCUCUGGACUACUGCAGGGGGCAAGGGGCAGGGAUGGAGAUUCACUACCACACCCAUGCCACCUCACAGUAGACAAGUGACAGGGCCAGUUCUCCCAUGGCGUUACUGGAGGGCAGAAGGCCAGCUCACCCAUGCCCCUUCCACCAAGGCCAGCACUACUGUACUACCUAGGCAAGAUGCCCAGCCCACUCUUUCAAGUGCUGCAGCUGAUAAGAGCAGGGAUAGCUCUCCUGCACUCACGAUCCUGUAGGCAGCUUUCCCAACUGCCAGAGGUGAUGAGGGGGGCAGGUAUCACCCCUGUGCCCUUGCCACCUCACAGCAAAAGAGUAGUGGGGUCAGCUCUACUACAAUCAUGCCCUCGAGCCACUCACCCACACUCCUACCACCAGGGCAUGCUCUACUGUGCUGCCUAGAUGAGGUUCAGGGCCCCCUCUCCCAAGUGUUGCUACAGGUGAGAGGUGGUGCCAGGUCUCCAGAGGGCUGCAUCCAGUGAGGGGUAGGGCCAGUUCUACACUAGGGCAUCCAAGUGGUCCCUAGUGACUUGCCUGGACCAGGGACAUUCUCAUGUUCUCUAGUAGCAAUAUGAGCUACUGACAUUGACACUGACCCCUGCCACUGCGUUAGCCACAGAUGCAGACAUGGCCCUCAGCAGUAGCUCAGGCUGGGACUUCACAAUGGCCCCAGGUGGCAGGGCUGGCUACUCACAACAGGCUACUCCUCUCCACCCUCGAGUCUCCAGUUCCAUCUCUCUUCACACUGCUCAAGCUGCUCCUCUUCUUUCUCCCAUCUGAUAACCACACACUCGCACGUUGUGAUUGCUCCCACUGGAGCCUGCACACAGCACUGGCGGACCCUUGGGUGACAUUCUCCAGGAAGCAGUUGUCUAUGGUCUGCCUGUGCCAGGGGCUCGAGGGCAGGUCUGUAGGUGGCAUAGCAGUCCAGCAGGUCUCUGUUUUCCUCUAUCCAUGAUCUGCUAUGUGGUGGUAGGCAGGGCUAUAUGUGUCUAUGGCACAUAGAUUAAAAUAUUUCUGUUGUUUGGCAGUAGCUUUUUGAUUCCAUUAUUCUUCAUAUGCUUGUAUAUAUAUAUAUCUAUCCUGGUGUAGUUGCAGAACUGGAAGAUGAUCCAGAUUUUUAAUUAGCCAGAUAGCCUUAUUAUUGCUCAGUCUGUCAGCAUAACAUACUAAAAUAAAAAAACACUAACUUGUUACAUUGUCCAUUAGGUCCAUUAGAUUUUGUACACAAGAAUGUGCUCCUUCCUUGUGAUCAUAAUGGAGUGUGGGUAUUAUUGUCUCUGCUUUAUACACAACAGUAUGGAGUUUUCUCCAGACUAAAUAAUUCAUUAACUAUCCCACCAUCUACAGGAAGAAGAGCUGAUAUUCUAGUCUAGUCAGUUUCCAAAAGCACAGAUGCACACCCAUAUGUAAGUAUAUUAUUAAGGAUACAAGAGGACAUUUUAAAGCAAAACCUUGUAGCAUGUGAUGGCUGCUCUUUGACUUCCUGUGUUGUUUUAAUGUGUUAGUUCUUUGGUGAACACCAUGUUUGUGUUCCUCCUUCCACUCUGUAGGAAGUGUGCUAGUAGUGGCCAUGAUGACACAGUACUCUCACAUGUCAUAUUUCGUAGAAAUGCUAUCAGCUUUCAGCUGCUCAUGCUCGAUCUAGACAUUGUUUUCAAUUUUCCACGCCACUUUUAUUUUCUAUGCAAGUUUUCUAGUAUUUUGUAGUCAAAUCUAUUAAUUGAUUUUUUAAAAAAUUGACGUCUGCCUUUAAUAUGAAGUCUGAGAGCCUGUUGCUACGUCUGUCAGAGCGGAGGUCCCGCUCAGACUGCUGGGCUCAGAGCUGCUGCAGGCUUUGAUCAUGUUCUUGGUGGUGAUGUACUGGGUAUUAUUUACCACAAUAUGUCCUUUCUGUUUUCCUGUCUCUGGUGAUUUUAUGUGAAUUGCGUGUUUGGUUUGCUAACUCUGUGUUUGUUAUCUAUUUUCUCUUGGUUUUCUCACUCUGUGUUUGUUAUCUAUUUUCUCUAAGGGGUAACUACUAAAUAACACAUACUACACUGCAUUCAAACUCCCUCCCACAGCCCUCAUGCCCUCCUUCAGUAAGAUUGGCUUUCCCAGAGGAGUCUUAGGUGCUUUUGUAACUAGCCUGAUGCAAUCCUUCUCCGGUCCUUAGGCAUGACCAAACACGCACAGUCCUGUGGGAGAAGCUUGGGCUGGGUGUGCUUCCUUGGUUAAAGCUAUACAGAGGCUGGCCAGUCAUGGAGGAUGCAUCCUAAUCCCUCAGUUUCCUGGUGUUUUGGUUUGGUUUCUCAGUCACUCAAGCCACUGGCUUGUGAAAAGGGAAGGCAGUUCUCAGGUGAUAAAUACCUGGAGCCACUGGGUUCAAUCAGGUUUUUUCUCUUGCUCCUUUCUUCCUUCUUUCCUUUCUCUCUCUCUCUCCCUUCCUUCCUUCCUUCCUUCCUUCCUUCCUUCCUUCCUUCCUUCCCUCUUUCCUUUCUCUCUCUUCCUUCCUUUCUUUUUUCUUUUCUCUUUCCUCUUUCUUUCUAUAACUUUUAAUUGAUUUUUUUGUGUGAAUUUCAUUCAUCUCCCCAUUGUAUCUUCCCUCCACAUAUGCAACCUUCACCACAAAAAAAAAACAGUAAAAAUUAAAAUAAUAAUAAUAAUUAAAACAAAACAUCUUAUCAUGGAAGCUGUAGAAUGUCACAGUGUGUUCCACAGUAUACCCUUUUGUCCUGCUUAUAUGCCAGAAGUUAUAGUUUCCUUUCCUGGUGGAUUUCAGGUUCCAUGGACACAAUUGUUCUUAGAUUUCUCUCUGCUGUUUAAUAAAUUUUUAUUUAUUUAAAGUUGGCCUUAAAGAGAAGAACCAUUAUUUAAAAUUCAAUAUUUCAUGAUUCUUUUUUUGUAAAUACUUUGGCAACUUGAUGACUUUAACAUGAGGUUCCUAUUUUUUAAAAAGCAACAUUGAACACUGAAAAUGGAUACUUAUCUAGAGCAUGACUAAAUAAGAUACAAGUAUGCACAAAGAUAACAGUUGUCACAAAUAUUCAAAAUGUAUACAAAAGAUAUUAGCAAUAUACCUUUGACAUUCUGUUACAUUGUUUUUCUUAUAUUCUUAAUGUUUAUUCAAUUUUUAUUGCGUACUUUUAUUCAUCUUUUUAUUAUAAAUAUUUUAUGAUCUCAUUUCAUAUUCAGUAAAUUUAAAAAAUAACUUUAAUUUUCCUCUGACCUUGUUAACAGUUUUAAAUGGAUGAUAGUUUGCAUAAGUUUCUUUCUGACUUGCUACCUAUCAGCAAUACCAUGUAGUAUUAAAGUUAUUGUCAAAAUUAAGACAAUUCCUACAAAGGUUCUGCAUAUUUGUACAAUAAAACUGUCGAGUUUUGUUUUGUUUUGGAGUGAAUUUUAAAUAACUGUGGAGCUGACAGCUCUUAUGAACCAGUCAUCAGUAUCCCCGCUGAAGCGAUCUUUAUCUCAAUCAGUUCACAUCAGCUCAGUGUAGCAGGCAGGAUACUGAAGUUUCUCUGAAGUGUUCAUAUGGUUCGUUCAUUAGUCUGAUUACAAGAAUCAUAUAACUUCUAUUUGAAAAUUUUCAUCUCAUUUUCAUGACUUUAGACUGAUGUGGAAAAUCUCUUCAGUCUCAUCCUAAGCCUUGCAAAAUGUUUGCAAGGGCUUCCUCUCUACCCUACCUCCACUCCCUGGGGUCUACAGCAAACCCUGUGCCAGGCCCAGCAUUCCCUUUCCCUUGGACCCUCUCAGUUGUCUUUUCUAGCCCAUUCCUGUUUCUCUACAUCAGCCAACUAUACCUAGAAGCAUUCUGCCUGGGACCCCAGUGGCUACACAAAGCUAAGACCCAGGUAGGUGACUUCCACUUUCCUUUUUGUCAUUGGUCAUAAUCUCUCCAGACUUAUUCCAAUUUCUGUAAGCAGACUGUUGCAGGGACCUCCACUAGCACUGAAGCUCCAUUCACUGGAGCUUCAAGCUCUUGUCACAGAGUUCCGAAAGCCCUUUCAUCCGUCUUUCCUGAUCAUUCUUUGCCUUACUGCAACCUGCUUGCAGGAUCCUCUCUUCCCACCACACAUCCCAGUGCCUGGAGACCCCUCCCUUUGGUGUGGACAGGAUCCCCUUAGCUCUUUCCUGAAGCCCACUCAACUUUUUUCUCCUAGACCAGCUCUCUUUCUCACUGCUACCCACAGACCUGCAGCAUUCUGUACCAGGUAGCCCACACCCACUACAGUUUUAUAAGAUCCAGAGAGGGUUACAGACACCAAAGAAUGGAACACCCAGCCAGCAAAGGGAAAAUGAAACAUCAACACCCAGAAUCAAUCUAAUCAUCUCAAGUCCAGAUGUUUAGACUCCAGCAGAGCACAAACAUUAACACCCAAGACAAUGUGCCUCCACCAGAAGCCAGUAACUCCACUCCACUGCAGUAGACCCUGUGAAAUGCAGUAUAGUUGAAAAACAAGAAAGGGCUUCAAAAUAGGGACAAUUAAGAACAUGUUCAAUAUUCUCUCCUGUGACUCUCUAAGGCAGGUCCACCCAGGAGUAAAGACACAGGCUUACAGACUCACAGGAGGAAGAAACUCCAGCCAGAGACAGCAAAAACAUAUAACACCAGAGAUUACCAGAUGACGAAAGGCAAAUGCAAGAAUCUUAUGAACAGAAACCAAGGCUACUCAUCAUCAGAACUUAGUACUCCCACCACAGUAAGUCCUGGAUAAACCAACACACUGGAAAAGCAAGAUUCUGAUUUAAAAUCAUAUCUCAUGAUGCUGAUAGAGGACUUUAAGGAUAUUAAUAACUCCCUUAAAUACACGAGAUCACAGGUAAACAGGUAGAAGCCCUUAAAGAGGAAACACAAAAUCCCCUGAAGAAUUACAGGAAAACACAACCAAACAGGUGAAGGAAUUGAACAAAACCAUCAAGGAUCUAAAAAUGGAAGUAGAAACCAAUAAAGAAAGCAAAAAGGGAGACAACUCUGGAGAUAGAAAACCUAGGGAAAAAAAUCAGAAAACAUAGAUGCAAGCAUCACCAACAGAAUA